AAUCAGGAUGGCUCUGGAAAGUUCGCCAAUAAUUUUGAGAAUAUGUGGGAUUUGACCCCGGAUACAGAUUUGUUAAUGGAGUUACCAGAAGAAUACACUUUUGAAACUGCUCUUGCAGAUUUGAUUGACAAUUCCUUGCAGGCAGUGUGGUUGAAUGAUGUAAACCAUAGGAGAUUGAUAAG